UACGGAGGGGGCUAGCGUUUGUUCGGAAUUACUGGGCGUAAAGCGCACGUAGGCGGCUUUGUAAGUUAGAGGUGAAAGCCCGGGGCUCAACCCCGGAAUUGCCUUUAAGACUGCAUCGCUAGAAUUGUGGAGAGGUAAGUGGAAUUCCGAGUGUAGAGGUGAAAUUCGUAGAUAUUCGGAAGAACACCAGUGGCGAAGGCGACUUACUGGACACAUAUUGACGCUGAGGUGCGAAAGCGUGGGGAGCAAACAGG
rnacentral:rRNA from 1 species